rnacentral:piRNA from 1 species
UAUUGAGGUUGUGAUGUACCGUCCCAU